UCAGAGUUGGUCGGUUCUCGGUUGGUUAAAAUCAAAUUUGGGAAUCUGAUUUAUGACGUUGUAUUGAACCGGCGGUUAUUCCGUUCGUUACUUUCCCACUCCCACCCUUCCACCAAAACAUUACUAAUUACUCCAUAGAUGUGAUCCCUUGAUCUACAGAAGUCGCACUGUUUGAUAUCUUCGAAUGCAAGCUUGUGGUGGAUCGGCCAGAGCUGGACGACUAUGUUGAGAAAGAGAAGUGGAAUGUCCAAGGAGCCGCUGUUAUUACUAAAAAAUUUGCUCAUUCGAGAGAGUUGAGUAAUGUCAAUCGACUAAAACAAAAUUCCAUUUCAAGAUACAUGAGUGAGGAUCUAAUGAAGAUUGGGG